rnacentral:rRNA from 2 species
GUGGGGAAUAUUGGACAAUGGGGGGAACCCUGAUCCAGCCAUGCCGCGUGUGUGAAGAAGGCCUUUUGGUUGUAAAGCACUUUAAGCGAGGAGGAGGCUACCGAGAUUAAUACUCUUGGAUAGUGGACGUUACUCGCAGAAUAAGCACCGGCUAACUCUGUGCCAGCAGCCGCGGUAAUACAGAGGGUGCAAGCGUUAAUCGGAUUUACUGGGCGUAAAGCGCGCGUAGGUGGCCAAUUAAGUCAAAUGUGAAAUCCCCGAGCUUAACUUGGGAAUUGCAUUCGAUACUGGUUGGCUAGAGUAUGGGAGAGGAUGGUAGAAUUCCAGGUGUAGCGGUGAAAUGCGUAGAGAUCUGGAGGAAUACCGAUGGCGAAGGCAGCCAUCUGGCCUAAUACUGACACUGAGGUGCGAAAGCAUGGGGAGCAAACAGG